rnacentral:rRNA from 1 species
GAUGAACGCUGGCGGCGCGCCUAACACAUGCAAGUCGAACGGCACCCCUCUCCGGAGGGAAGCGAGUGGCGAACGGCUGAGUAACACGUGGAGAACCUGCCCCCUCCCCCGGGAUAGCCGCCCGAAAGGACGGGUAAUACCGGAUACCCCGGGGUGCCGCAUGGCACCCCGGCUAAAGCCCCGACGGGAGGGGAUGGCUCCGCGGCCCAUCAGGUAGACGGCGGGGUGACGGCCCACCGUGCCGACAACGGGUAGCCGGGUUGAGAGACCGACCGGCCAGAUUGGGACUGAGACACGGCCCAGACUCCUACGGGAGGCAGCAGUGGGGAAUCUUGCGCAAUGGGGGGAACCCUGACGCAGCGACGCCGCGUGCGGGACGGAGGCCUUCGGGUCGUAAACCGCUUUCAGCAGGGAAGAGUCAAGACUGUACCUGCAGAAGAAGCCCCGG